GGAAAGACCAAAGUACACUCAGCAAAGAGCACCCUGUUCCCUUCCUAGUCUGCCACUGAGCAGGGCUGACCCUUGAGAGCAGUCACAGGUAAACUCUCACAGCCACUUUGGAGGGCAGGAUGACCCUCUCCCAGCUGCUACACCAAAAAAGCCUGCAGAGAACCAGAUCCCAAGGAGAAAGUACCUUCUCCUCUUGAGCUACUGCUUGCCAUGUCCUCGUCAGCUGGUUUCCUCACCGAUAUCUCUGCAGCUUCUCCCAGCUCGAGUCAUCUGCUGUUCUCUCCCUUUCAGAGCAAGGCAGCAACAGCUUUUGUUGAGUUCCCUGACCAUACAGACGUCUGUCUUCCCUCACUGGAACUGGCCUAACAGAAUUCUUCCCAUCGACAUCAGCUAGUGAAGGACCACCUUUCCUUGCUACCUUCCUUGAAGGACAGCUCUGGGCCGCAGCUCCGGGCAGCACCGUUUCUGCACUAAGGUGCCACGGUCUGCAGGGUUUUCCGCCCGAGGRCUCACCAUGACAAAGCUUCUCACCAAAAAUCACCUGCCACGUCUUGCUGAGCUCUUCACCAAGACAUCUUGGUCAUACUAUAUAAACCUUGCCCAACACCAAAGCAUUAAUGAGCUCAUCAGACUGCUGACUCCGGUCGGCUAAUUCACACCAAACACUACCACUAUCAAACCUUGCUUAUUCUCUCUGCUCUCUGCUAAGACUCUCCCCUUGCACAGCC
rnacentral:lncRNA from 1 species